CCCUUAGAUGUUCUGGGCCGCACGCGCGCUACACUGACGAUGGCAACGAGUUUUUCCUUCGCCGAAAGGUGUGGGUAAUCUUUUGAAACAUCGUCGUGCUGGGGAUAGAUCAUUGCAAUUUUUGAUCUUGAACGAGGAAUUCCUAGUAAGCGCGAGUCAUCAGCUCGCGUUGAUUACGUCCCUGCCCUUUGUACACACCGCCCGUCGCUACUACCGAUUGAAUGGUUUAGUGCGGACUCCUGAUUGGCGCCGCCGCCCCGGCAACGGAGCAGCGGACUGCCGAAAAGUUGUUCAAACUUGAUCAUUUAGAGGAAGUAAAAGUCGUAACA
rnacentral:rRNA from 1 species